AUCCAUCUGACGAGUCCCAAAUAGGACGAAACGCAUUGCGUUCUGGGC
rnacentral:hammerhead_ribozyme from 1 species